rnacentral:rRNA from 1 species
UACGGAGGGUGCAAGCGUUAUCCGGAAUCACUGGGUUUAAAGGGUGCGUAGGCGGUCUGAUAAGUCAGUUGUGAAAUUCCUCGGCUUAACCGAGUGGACUGCGAUUGAUACUGUCAGACUUGAAUCAGGUUGAGGUAGGCGGAAUGUGACAUGUAGCGGUGAAAUGCUUAGAUAUGUCAUAGAACACCGAUUGCGAAGGCAGCUUGCUGGGCUUAGAUUGACGCUGAGGCACGAAAGCGCGGGGAGCAAACAGG